GCCAAGUCCUCUACAACAGAGCCCUUGGAGAGACAGCAGCAGGAGCUGUUAGACCCCUUCUCCCAGAGAAAGGCCACCAUUUUUUUACAGACUAAAAGGACUGUGACCCUAGUUUUGGAUGGCCCUGUUUUUUUGUUCAAUUGUUUUCAGGAUCCAGCUCUUCCUGAAUUCAUUUGGGUUUCCUUGCAAAGAUGGGACUUUCAGAUGAAGAAACAGGCCAGCAGGCUUAAGUGACUUGCCCAGGGCUUGGUUACACAACGAGCCUUGUGUCUGAGCUGGAUGUGAAGAUGGGUUUUCCUCACUCCUGCUCUACUUCUCAGCUGCCCUGCAUGACCUUGAUAGAAGCGUGUUUUAAUUAAGCCUAGCCAUGUGGCCAUGCAAUGCCAUCCUGGGGUGAUGGACCUGGUUACCCUCCUAUCCUAAC
rnacentral:lncRNA from 1 species